ensembl:Mt_tRNA
CAAAGGAUAGUUUAAUAUAAAAUUCCGGUUUUGGGGACCGGGGAAGAAGGUUUGGAAGCCUUUUCUUUUGA